rnacentral:rRNA from 1 species
AACGCUGGCGGCAGGCUUAACACAUGCAAGUCGAGCGCCCCGCAAGGGGAGCGGCAGACGGGUGAGUAACGCGUGGGAACGUACCAUUUGCUACGGAAUAACUCAGGGAAACUUGUGCUAAUACCGUAUGAGCCCGAAAGGGGAAAGAUUUAUCGGCAAAUGAUCGGCCCGCGUUGGAUUAGCUAGUUGGUGGGGUAAAGGCCUACCAAGGCGACGAUCCAUAGCUGGUCUGAGAGGAUGAUCAGCCACACUGGGACUGAGACACGGCCCAGACUCCUACGGGAGGCAGCAGUGGGGAAUAUUGGACAAUGGGCGCAAGCCUGAUCCAGCCAUGCCGCGUGAGUGAUGAAGGCCCUAGGGUUGUAAAGCUCUUUCACCGGUGAAGAUAAUGACGGUAACCGGAGAAGAAGCCCCGGCUAACUUCGUGCCAGCAGCCGCGGUAAUACGAAGGGGGCUAGCGUUGUUCGGAUUUACUGGGCGUAAAGCGCACGUAGGCGGGCUAAUAAGUCAGGGGUGAAAUCCCGGGGCUCAACCCCGGAACUGCCUUUGAUACUGUUAGUCUUGANUAUGGUAGAGGUGAGUGGAAUUCCNA